ACAACAUUCGGACCGUCGGUCUACCGAGCAAUAUCAUCCGCUCGGUGGAAGAUCUUCUCUUUGUCGU
rfam:Bombyx mori DNA, contig: Bm_scaf40_contig23132, strain: p50T/Dazao, build 2, whole genome shotgun sequence.